GCGGCGGCGGUGGCCAAUUGUAGCAGCGGCAGGCGCCUCGUUUUCGGAGCUCUCCGUCAGUUUCGCUUCAGGGUGCUUUGCCUUAUAGUCAGCGGUGGACGAUUGUAGCAUCGGCAAGUCUUCGGUGGUGGAAGCGUACAUCUCAAACAGAAGGUUUUGAGCACGAUGUGGCCCACCGUAUAAGUUUAGAGCACGAUGCUUCCACUACAAGUAAGAAGGUGUUGGAUGCUCUAUCGCCGUUAUUCUUAGGUGUCGAUGAUAAGAUCACCGUCGCUAAAGCCGUUUGCAAUAGCCCAACUGACCUCGACAUAACUUUUGGAUUAAAUGAGUCCGAAAAGAGGGUUAUGGUUCGAAUGAUCCUCGUAGGUCGUUACUUCGGAUAGGUAGACUACCAUCCACUCACAAGGCGAUGAAGAAAUUUUCCGUAUUCGGACCCCAUUUUGCGGCGUUGUUUGCAUUGAAGACAUUUUAUUUCUUCUUUAAUUUAAUUUUGUGGUGGAUCUUAUAGUAGUCCACUUGUGUCACAAAUAUAAAUUUUCUGUAAUAUGGCAGAUUAUAUUUCGUAAAUUUUCUACAAGUAUUUCGUGAAGUUUCUGUUAUAGUUUGGAGCUAAAAUGUCUAAUAUGGCUUCCAAAAAAUUCUGUUAUUUUGGAGCUACUGCUCCAUUUUAUUAGCUUCAUAUUUUAUAGAAAGUGGAAGAUAUAGAUAA